CAAUAGCGUAUAUUAAAGUUGUUGCGGUUAAAAGCUCGUAGUUGGAUUUCUGGUCGGUUCGUCUAUCCGGGUCCGCAAGGGCUCGUGUGUGCCGCAACCUGCCAUCCUCAGGGGGACUGUUCACUGGCAUUCAGUUGUCGGAGUCGGGACGCCUGUCGUUUACUGUGAACAAAUUAGAGUGUUCAAAGCAAGGUGGUCUUGAAUACAUUAGCAUGGAAUAAUAAGAUAGGACUUUGGUGGUUCUUUUUGAUAUUUUGUUGGUUUGCACGCCAAAGUAAUGAUUAAUAGGAGCAGUUGGGGGUAUUCGUAUUCAAUUGUCAGAGGUGAAAUUCUUGGAUUUAUAGAAGACGAACUACUGCGAAAGCAUUUACCAAGGAUGUUUUCAUUAAUCAAGAACGAAAGUUAGGGGAUCGAAGAUGAUUAGAUACCAU
rnacentral:rRNA from 1 species